UGAAACCCUAAAGCAGAUAAAAGGAAGUUGGGGUUUCGGAAGAGCAUGGAUUAAUGGAUGAAGACGAUUAACGGACAACCGGAGGAGGAUAUGAUCGGUUAUGCGCAUUUUGCAGCCGAUAUAUGCUGUCACAUAAACCUAGCCUAACACGUAAGCGAUGACAUGGCAAGAAUUUAAAGCGUCGAACUACCGCAACGACGUCGUAUUGAAGGCGAAUCGUAAGGAGCAAGGAUCGAAUGUUCAAGCGCCUCCAUAUAAACUCAAGACUUCCUUGACCUAAAAUAACACAUCUGCGAACUACCACCGUUACAUGGAUGAGAAUCAUUCGAAUGGUGUAACCAACGAAGACAUGGCCAUCAAUCUACUGCAAAUCCAGCUGAAACUGUCUCUUAUACGGGAGGACAUCCAUGACCAGUUGCGUGAGCUCCGUCAGGCAGUUAAUCGAGACUUGGAUGCCAUGAACCGUGAGGUCGAUGACGUUCAUGCAGGUCAGUUGGAUAUCUCAAAUCUCGUUGCUGAUCUUAAAAAUCAGUUCGUUUCUCUGCAAGGAGCAUAUGUGAAGAUGGUCUUCUAGCACAACAAAUGUAAGAAGCUGAAGUAUUGUAUUGAGAUUGUUGGUGUAGUUACUGUGUCUAUGGUGAUGUAUAUGUUCUUUAACUAAAAAAAGUUGUGUAGGUUGAAGCAUUUCAGUCUUGGGUUUGUGUUUUGGUGUGUUAUUUAUGUUGUUUAAUGUCAAUAUUAGUAGUAGAUUUUGUGUGUGUUGCUGGCAUUAGUUUGUGAUGUUGGUGUGUAGAUUUGAUGGUGGUGUUGCCUGGGCUGCUGAUGGUCAUCGUUUUUCGAUGAAGUUUUUUGUCGAUGAUCUCUGUAAUAGGUUAUUCAAUAGCAGAAAGUGAUGUAAACAAACCCAUGGCUGAAAUGUGUUUUAAUAUGUUAUUAUUAAAAAAAAUUGUCUUACACCUA